AGUGGGUCCGGCGGCGGGACGGCGGGUUUGGAUGAGGUACUGGGAGGGAGCUCUUCGCUGUGAGGCACUGGCACAGGUUGCUCAGAGAAGCUGUGGAUGCCCCAUCCUUGGGAAUGUUCAAGUCUGGCUUGCCUGGAGCUCUGAGCAGUCUGGUCCAGUGGAAAGGUGUCCCUGCCCAUGGCAGGGCUUUGGAACUGGGUGAUCUUUAAGGUCCCUUCCAACCCAAGCCGUUCUGCGAUUCUAUGAUCCUGCUGUAAGGCGCUGCUCCGCUUAGUUUGCCUUUCCGGGCUCGGCCUGGCUGUGCCGAGGAGCAGGGAAGGGGUCGGUGGGGUUUGGGCGCGGGGCAGUGUCUGGGUGCGCUGUGGUGGCUCCUGGGCUGGAGGGUGCAGGUUUCUCACCAGCGUUCUCGUCUUCUAAAAGUAGUAUUAGAUUUAGGACCUCUGCUGCCUGUCUCCUAACAGGAGCUGUUAUAAAUUUAACACAGAAAGGCCGUAAUCUUGCUAACCUGUAGUUCAUUUUUAGUUUCAACAGGUGAUUUGAGCAGUCGUUUAUGGCAUCAUUUUUCUCAUGCAGGACCCUCACUUCUUUCAGAUAGUCGUAAAAUCUGCAGACAUCCCUAGGACUGGAAUCUGAAUCUGGAUGUUGUUGCUCCCCAGACUUUGGAUAAGACACUUGAAAUCAUGAAGUGGAUUUUAACUCUUCUGUUUAUUGUCUUUUCACAGAUUCAUAGAAUAUUUGGAGUUGGAAGGGAUCCACAAGGAUCCUCGAGUCCAACUCUUAAAUAAAUGGCCUGUAUGGGAAUUGCACCCACCACCUUGGUGUUACCAGAGCCAUGUUCUAACCAACUGCAACUACAGAAAAUUAGUUGUUUGUAGUUAUUUAACUACAAAUACCAAUGUGCUCUGUCAAUGAACCCGCACAUCACUGUUGGGACAUCACAACAUCCCAGCUGUGUGCUGCUCUGCUUGAGGAUUUUGAAGCCCAGAUUGCCCUGUCUGGUGGAAAUAUUUCUGGUGGAGAUAUAUAGGUACAAGCUCUGCCAUUUCACAAGCAGGAUCAAAAGUAAGAUCAGGAUACACCUGGCUCAAAUGCGUGAAACAGAUGUGGCAUGUCGAAUUUCGGGCUGUUCUAAAAUGGACCAAGAUGCCUCAAAAUAAAGAGUCCUUGCUGUUGUGACAUGAGCCCAAGCAUAAUUCUCAUGCCUCUCACUCCUGUGAAAGGAACACCUUGUUUGGAGAAGCAGCAUCUUAUUUGCUACUUGAGGAACCCUGCAGUGCUGACUUCUCUUCCAUAUUCCAAGGGAAAGGACAGAUAAGUCCAGUCUUUGCCUCUUAGCAUCUGUCACAUUUCCAGUAUUAGAACCCAGACAUUCACUGGGGAGAUAAAAACCACUAAGACUCAAUCAAGGUGUAAACAUCACAGGAAAAUCAGUUCAAAGCUGGAUCUAAAGGCUCAGCUCACCCUGUGGAAAAUGCUUGUGCCUUAAAGCUGGGUUCUGAGAUAAGGCAGCCUUUCUGCAAUGUGUGCAGUGUAGCACUAGAGUAGAAAGAUGCUGAGAAAAUCCAUUUAAAGGGUCAUGAUGUGGAUCAUGUCUCUGAAUGUGUUUAUUGUCACAUGACUGAGUAGAUCUUAAUGGAAAACCAUUGGAAAUCACACAUGCGGCUAAAAUAAACCUACCAGUGCCUCAUCUGUAGAGGUGCUUUUAUAUCACUUUAUAAAGUGCCUGGGAAGUGCACAGAAACAGCCGUCAGAGGAAACCUCAUCUCAGUGCCCAUCAUCUGGAACUGAGCAGAUAAGAAAUCUUCAUGUAGCUUGCUUGGCCUUACCAGGAUAUGGUUACAUGCCCACACAGUGAUUUUACCAGUCCUGUGACAUGUAGACCCUUUAGAGUUACUGGCUUCAGCUCCAUCACAACAUCCUUACAUGUGUUGGUGGCAUCUUGACUACUGAACCACGCUGGUGUACGUUGAAUUGGAGGGUCAGAGACUCCAGAAUUCAGCAGUAUUGGCAAUCUGAUGCUUGCUGUGUCAUCACAUUAAAAGGAAUAGGCAAUUUAAUAAGACUUGGUGACACUGGCCCAGAGAAGAGUUGAAGGAGCAUAUGGAAAAUUGCAGAACUUCUACAGCCCUUUUGUCUUCAUUUUGGGAUCAAGUAUUCAAAACCAGACAUCAGUUGAGUGGACAUCACAAACAAAUCCAUCAUGAAGAAACAACAAACCUACAAUGAAAGGCAGGAAGAGAAUAAAGAAGCCUGAAGAUAAUCCUGUGUGUUUCAACACAAAAGCAACUUGAAAGAAGGAUUCAGGCUAAUUUAAAUGCAGUACCUCCAGUAGGUAUGAUCUGUAUCAUAGCAAAACUUGCUAUUUUCUUUCUUCAUUGUAUAAUAUUUGGUAAUCUGGCACAUUUAUUUGCUGAUUUAUUUACAUAUCUUUGUAAGACAGUUGCCGUUAACCUGAACAAAAAUAAGGUACUCUUUUCAAACAGCUGCCUUCUUCUUGGUUUGGAAUAGUACCAGUCUUUGGAACAAAUUAUGCAGGUGCUGAUCAAAAGAUGCAGCUAAAGGUUUUCUGUUAUAGUUUGUUACAAGCUUGUACAAGUUUGUUACAAAGUAGAGCCACUGAAACAGGCUCUUUCAGGAGCCAAGAGAGAUGCUGUGAGACUUCUUGGAAUCCGGCGAGUUAACUAGGUGGAAAAACAAAAAAAAAAGCUUUCUUUGUAGUCACGGCUGAAUUUUUAGGAGGAGUGUUAACUGAAGCACCAAUUUUAUCAGUUAGCAUAAAAUUCUACUUAUCUGCACUUGUAAGAGUUAACACCAAGACUUUCCCUGACCUCAAGUGCAUCCUUUCUUCCAAACAGAAUUUGAGAAGGCAUUUGAUGCAUUCCUGUUAUUCAGAAAAGAUCUCUUUUUCUUUGAUAAAGAAGAUAAUCUCUGGUAGCCACCUGUCCAUAAGUUGACAUUACAAAAUAUUCUGAUAACUUUUCUAAUAUUUAGGUAGAGAAGCUUGUGUACAUCUCUUUCUCUAAGUUUCUUCUAAGUAUGUGCAUUUGGUUUGGGAUGUGUUCUCUUUUUGUUGGUCUUUAUGGCCAUACAUAUGACUGUUACAUUGUCAGAAAACAUUUUUACAAUCGUUUAACUAGAGAAAUAACUUUCUGACUUUCACAGUUGUGUGUCAUAAAUUAAUUCAAAUUGUCAAAGUUUUUUUCCCCAAAUGGCUUCUUUAUCCUGCUGUUUUCUAGGACUUACAUAAUUGUUUAUACUGAAUCUGGCUUUUCUCGUUUGGAGUUGUUGUCACUCACAUGGAAAGAAAUAAAUACAUGUUUUAGUAGCUUGCUGACAUUGGUAUUAUAAAAAGAAAGCAAAAAUGGAAUUUGGGUUUGGUUAGUCAAAGGUCUAAUUGCUUGAAGUGAGCUAGAGCAUUUUUGUUAAUAAGUAGGGAGCAGACCAAUAUGCUGAUGAUGUACCUUGCACAUAGGCAUCUUUUGGGCUUUUUUUAAAUGAAGCAGUCAGUUAACAAAAGUUGUCUCUGUUUGAAGUUGCAGAAGUGUAAGGUUAAGCACUUUACAUCGUUACAUCAUUACAAUGGUUACUUGUGAACCAGUGGGGUAUGACAAUCCAGAUUUUAUCUUAGGUUUCGUAGGAAAUCUGUCAUCUGAUGUACACACUGCAUCUCUGUUUUGAAAGAAAAAGGAGCAUUUAUGGACUGUCUGGAGCUCUUCCUGGAAACGCGAAGAUUAAAAACUUGAACUUUUCAUACCUAGUUCUGACUCGAGCUUUGCUUGACUUCUGUACAGCAAAACAAACUUCAUGUCAACACUGUUCCUUUCUUACAGCCCCCUGAGGUGCAAACUCAUAAAACUGGCAUUAGCCAUAGUCCCAGCCUGCAGCUGUCUCUUAAUUCUUUCUGCUAAAGGCCUUGUCCCCACAGCAGAACAGGAUCUGGUGGUGAUCACAGCCAGCUCGGUGGUGUGUCCUGCAGCACAGAUGGAAUAGCUGAUGGCAGAAGGGCAUAAGGGUAACCCUGCUGUGCUGACUGUGGCUCUGUGAGCAUGGGCUGUGCCCUGCACAGAGCUCCAGAGUGCCAGAGCAAGCUGCCUCAUUUUCUCUUCGUACCACAAUUGUCUCUCUUUAUGCCCAUAUUAACAGACACACAUGGGAAGUAUAUUUUAGAGUCUAUGGAUACUGUAAAACUUCAAGGAAUUCCUUUAAAAUGAGGAAGAUCUGCUGUCAGGUGGUUACCAGCAAAGUGUUGGUAGCAGGUCCUGGAAAUCCAGCUGUUUUCCUGGGCGUCCUGUGGCGCUUUGUUUGUUUUCCACCGUGAGGGGGCAGCAGAUGAACAACAUCACGCGGGCUGUUUGUUACCUUUCAAACGCUUUUCCAGUGUCCCUCUCUGCCUGUGAAUCCCAGCAGGGGCUUCAUACCAAUGGGAGAGUUUAAAAUUAUGAUUCCUACCUGGAAUGUACAGGAAUGAUUCCUGUAGCUGGAAUGUAUGAAUUUGAAGUCUUCAUUCUUUUCAGUAUUAAGCAGUAGAAUUUAUUUAGUAAAAUCUAUCUCAAGUUUAUAAAAAGGGCAGUUCUAUAUUGAGACUUAAGAUUUUUAUGACUAUGGCAUUAGGUGUGUAUAUAUUUUAAAGGAUAAAAUAACUAAGCAUCCCAACCCCAUGUGCUUAUUAGUUAAUGUCACCUAAGUUUUACUUAACAUCUUUCAAAUAUUUAUUUUCUAUAUUUCAAAUUGCAUAUUACAAUUAAAGAUAAUGUUCUCACAGCCAUUCUUCUCCCAUCAGAAAAUAAAACUGAGAAUACACUAAA